CCUACGGGAGGCAGCAGUGAUGAAUAUUGGACAAUGGGUGAGAGCCUGAUCCAGCCAUCCCGCGUGAAGGACGACGGCCCUAUGGGUUGUAAACUUCUUUUGUAUAGGGAUAAACCUACUCUCGUGAGAGUAGCUGAAGGUACUAUACGAAUAAGCACCGGCUAACUCUAUGCCAGCAGCCGCGGUAAU
rnacentral:rRNA from 1 species